rnacentral:rRNA from 1 species
AGAGUUUGAUCCUGGCUCAGGACGAACGCUGGCGGCGUGCCUAACACAUGCAAGUCGAGCGGAGAAGGGAAGAGCUUGCUCAGAACUUCUUAGCGGCGGACGGGUGAGUAACGCGUGAGCAACCUGCCUUCUACAGGGGGAUAACGCAUCGAAAGAUGUGCUAAUACCGCGUAAGACCACGGUGUCACAUGACACAGAGGUCAAAGGAGCAAUCCGGUAGGAGAUGGGCUCGCGUCCGAUUAGCUAGUUGGUGAGAUAACAGCCCACCAAGGCGACGAUCGGUAGCCGACCUGAGAGGGUGAUCGGCCACAUUGGGACUGAGACACGGCCCAGACUCCUACGGGAGGCAGCAGUGGGGGAUAUUGCGCAAUGGGGGAAACCCUGACGCAGCAAUGCCGCGUGAAGGAUGAAGGUCUUCGGAUUGUAAACUUCUUUUGUCAGGGACGAAAACUGACGGUACCUGACGAAUAAGCUCCGGCUAACUACGUGCCAGCAGCCGCGGUAAUACGUAGGGAGCAAGCGUUGUCCGGAUUUACUGGGUGUAAAGGGUGCGUAGGCGGAUUGGCAAGUCAGCUGUGAAAUCUGUGGGCUCAACUCACAAAUUGCAGUUGAAACUGUCAGUCUUGAGUGAAGUAGAGGCAGGCGGAAUUCCCGGUGUAGCGGUGAAAUGCGUAGAGAUCGGGAGGAACACCAGUGGCGAAGGCGGCCUGCUGGGCUUUAACUGACGCUGAGGCACGAAAGCAUGGGUAGCAAACAGGAUUAGAUACCCUGGUAGUCCAUGCCGUAAACGAUGAUUACUAGGUGUGGGGGGACUGACCCCCUCCGUGCCGCAGUUAACACAAUAAGUAAUCCCACCUGGGGAGUACGGCCGCAAGGUUGAAACUCAAAGGAAUUGACGGGGGCCCGCACAAGCAGCGGAGCAUGUGGUUUAAUUCGAAGCAACGCGAAGAACCUUACCAGGUCUUGACAUCCAGUAAAGCCUGUAGAGAUACAGAGUCCCUUCGGGGGUACUGAGACAGGUGGUGCAUGGUUGUCGUCAGCUCGUGUCGUGAGAUGUUGGGUUAAGUCCCGCAACGAGCGCAACCCUUAUCGUCCGUUACUAACGCGUAGAGGCGAGGACUCAGACGAGACCGCCGGGGACAACUCGGAGGAAGGUGGGGACGACGUCAAGUCAUCAUGCCCCUUACGACCUGGGCUACACACGUGCUACAAUGGGUACGAACAAAGAGACGCGAGACCGCAAGGUGGAGCAAAACUCAUAAAAGUACUCUCAGUUCAGAUUGUGGGCUGCAACCCGCCCACAUGAAGUUGGAGUUGCUAGUAAUCGCGGAUCAGCAUGCCGCGGUGAAUACGUUCCCGGGCCUUGCACACACAGCCCGUCA